AUACGUAGGGGGCGAGCGUUGUCCGGAAUGAUUGGGCGUAAAGGGCGCGUAGGCGGCCCGGUAAGUCUGGAGUGAAAGUCAUGCUUUUAAGGUGGGAAUUGCUUUGGAUACUGUCGGGCUUGAGUGCAGGAGAGGUAAGUGGAAUUCCUAGGGUAGCGGUGAAAUGCGUAGAUAUUAGGAGGAACACCAGUGGCGAAGGCGACUUACUGGACUGUAACUGACGCUGAGUCACGAAAGCGUGGGUAGCAAACAGGAUUAGAUACCCUGGUAGUCCACGCUGUAAACGAUGAGUGCUAGGUGUUGGCCAGCGAUGGUCAGUGCCGAAGUUAACACAAUAAGCACUCCGCCUGGGGAGUACGGUCGCAAGACUGAAACUCAAAUGAAUUGACGGGG
rnacentral:rRNA from 1 species